rnacentral:rRNA from 1 species
CAAAGAUUAAGCCAUGCAUGUCUAAGCACAAGCCGAAAAUGGUGAAGCCGCGAAUGGCUCAUUACAACAGCCUUUGUUUAUUUGAUCUUGAAAUCCUACUUGGAUAACUGUGGUAAUUCUAGAGCUAAUACACGCAAACAAGCUUCGGCCUUGCGGCUGGAGUGCAUUUAUUAGUGCAAAACCAAUCGGGCCUCGGCCCGUCGUUUGGUGAAUCUGAAUAACUGAGCCGAUCGCACGGUCUCUGCACCGGCGACGUAUCAUUCAAGUGUCUGCCCUAUCAACUUUCGAUGGUAGUUUAUGUGACUACCAUGGUUAUAACGGGUAACGGAGAAUAAGGGUUCGACUCCGGAGAAGCAGCCUGAGAAACGGCUACUACAUCCAAGGAAGG